GACGAACGCUGGCGGCGUGCUUAACACAUGCAAGUCGAACGGAAAGGCCCUGCUUUUGUGGCGUGCUCGAGUGGCGAACGGGUGAGUAACACGUGAGUAACCUGCCCUUGACUUUGGGAUAACUUCAGGAAACUGGGGCUAAUACCGGAUAGGAGCUCCUGCUGCAUGGUGGGGGUUGGAAAGUUUCGGCGGUUGGGGAUGGACUCGCGGCUUAUCAGCUUGUUGGUGGGGUAGUGGCUUACCAAGGCUUUGACGGGUAGCCGGCCUGAGAGGGUGACCGGCCACAUUGGGACUGAGAUACGGCCCAGACUCCUACGGGAGGCAGCAGUGGGGAAUAUUGCACAAUGGGCGGAAGCCUGAUGCAGCAACGCCGCGUGCGGGAUGACGGCCUUCGAGGUGUAAACCGCUUUCGCCUGUGACGAAGAGUGAGUGACGGUAAUGGGUAAAGAAGCACCGGCUAACUACGUG
rnacentral:rRNA from 1 species